rnacentral:rRNA from 1 species
CUUGGUGGUUUGAGCGAGGCGGACCCACCCGUUCCCAUCCCGAACACGGAAGUGAAACGCUUCAGCGCCGACGAUACUAGGCCACUGCCAGGG